rnacentral:misc_RNA from 1 species
UAAUCAAGUGUUUUUAUGGCACUUUCAAAAAUCCAUAUCCACCUUGUGUGCAAUGUCAUCUCUCUGGGGCUGCCGGCUGUCAAAAGCCGUGUGGUCACCUUUGGGAUUUAUAUCUACUCAGAACUUUAGUGAUUUUGUCUGAAACAUAUUAUGAAUACUUAAUUCAAAAUA